GUUACAAGUGUCACACAAUACGCCGGUAUUAAGUCGGAGGAAGGUGCGGAUGACGUCAAGUCAGCAUGACCUUUAUAUCCAGGGCUACACACACGCUACAAUGGUCGGCACAAUAGGUUGCCAAGUCGUGAGACGGAGCCAAUCCUCCAAAGCCGGCCUCAGUUCAGAUUGCAGGCUGCAACUCGCCUGCAUGAAGUUGGAGUUGCUAGUAAACGCAGGUCAGCUAUACUGCGUUGAAUACGUUCCCGGGGAUU
rnacentral:rRNA from 1 species